rnacentral:rRNA from 1 species
GUAAUGCUCACCAAGGCGACGACGGGUAGCCGGCCUGAGAGGGUGACCGGCCACACUGGGACUGAGACACGGCCCAGACUCCUACGGGAGGCAGCAGUGGGGAAUAUUGCACAAUGGGCGGAAGCCUGAUGCAGCGACGCCGCGUGAGGGAUGACGGCCUUCGGGUUGUAAACCUCUUUCAGCACGGAAGAAGCGAGAGUGACGGUACGUGCAGAAGAAGCGCCGGCUAACUACGUGCCAGCAGCCGCGGUAAUACGUAGGGCGCAAGCGUUGUCCGGAAUUAUUGGGCGUAAAGAGCUCGUAGGCGGUUUGUCGCGUCUGCUGUGAAAGCCCGGGGCUUAACCCCGGGUGUGCAGUGGGUACGGGCAGACUUGAGUGCAGUAGGGGAGACUGGAAUUCCUGGUGUAGCGGUGAAAUGCGCAGAUAUCAGGAGGAACACCGAUGGCGAAGGCAGGUCUCUGGGCUGUUACUGACGCUGAGGAGCGAAAGCAUGGGGAGCGAACAGGAUUAGAUACCCUGGUAGUCCAUGCCGUAAACGUUGGGCACUAGGUGUGGGGAACAUUCCACGUUUUCCGCGCCGUAGCUAACGCAUUAAGUGCCCCGCCUGGGGAGUACGGCCGCAAGGCUAAAACUCAAAGGAAUUGACGGGGGCCCGCACAAGCGGCGGAGCAUGCGGAUUAAUUCGAUGCAACGCGAAGAACCUUACCAAGGCUUGACAUACACCGGACCGGGCCAGAGAUGGUCUUUCCCCCUUGUGGGGCUGGUGUACAGGUGGUGCAUGGUUGUCGUCAGCUCGUGUCGUGAGAUGUUGGGUUAAGUCCCGCAACGAGCGCAACCCUCGUUCUAUGUUGCCAGCACGUGAUGGUGGGGACUCAUAGGAGACUGCCGGGGUCAACUCGGAGGAAGGUGGGGAUGACGUCAAAUCAUCAUGCCCCUUAUGUCUUGGGCUUCACGCAUGCUACAAUGGCCAGUACAAUGGGUUGCGAUGCCGUGAGGUGGAGCUAAUCCCAAAAAGCUGGUCUCAGUUCGGAUCGUGGUCUGCAACUCGACCACGUGAAGUCGGAGUCGCUAGUAAUCGCAGAUCAGCAACGCUGCGGUGAAUACGUUCCCGGGCCUUGUACACACCGCCCGUCAAGUCACGAAAGUUGGUAACACCCGAAGCCGGUGGCCUAACCCUUGUGGGGGAGCCGUCGAAG